GAUGAACGCUGGCGGCGUGCCCAAUACAUGCAAGUCGAGCGAACGGACGAGAAGCUUGCUUUUCUGAUGUUAGCGGCGGACGGGUGAGUAACACGUGGAUAACCUACCUAUAAGACUGGGAUAACUUCGGGAAACCGGAGCUAAUACCGGAUAAUAUUUUGAACCGCAUGGUUCAAAAGUGAAAGACGGUCUUGCUGUCACUUAUAGAUGGAUCCGCGCUGCAUUAGCUAGUUGGUAAGGUAACGGCUUACCAAGGCAACGAUGCAUAGCCGACCUGAGAGGGUGAUCGGCCACACUGGAACUGAGACACGGUCCAGACUCCUACGGGAGGCAGCAGUAGGGAAUCUUCCGCGAUGGGCGAAAGCCUGACGGAGCAACGCCGCGUGAGUGAUGAAGGUCUUCGGAUCGUAAAACUCUGUUAUUAGGGAAGAACAUAUGUGUAAGUAACUGUGCACAUCUUGACGGUACCUAAUCAGAAAGCCACGGCUAACUACGUG
rnacentral:rRNA from 1 species